GGAAUAUUGGGCAAUGCCCGCAAGGGUGACCCAGCAACGCCGCGUGGAGGAUGAAUGUCGUAAGAUUGUAAACUCCUGUUAGAGGGGAAGAAUAGUACCGGUUGGACCGGUAUAUGACUGUACCCUCAGAGAAAGCCCCGGCUAACUACGUGCCAGCAGCCGCGGUAAUACGUAGGGUGCGAGCGUUAAUCGGAAUUACUGGGCGUAAAGGGUGCGCAGGCGGUCUUGCAAGUCAGAUGUGAAAGCCCCGGGCUUAACCUGGGAAUUGCGUUUGAAACUACAAUACUAGAGGGCAGCAGAGGGGAGUGGAAUUCCAUGUGUAGCAGUGAAAUGCGUAGAGAUGUGGAAGAACACCGAUGGCGAAGGCAGCUCCCUGGGUUGACACUGACGCUCAUGCACGAAAGCGUGGGGAG
rnacentral:rRNA from 1 species